ACAUGAGGUCUCCAUUGGAUCUUUGCAUUCCACCGCCAGCUGUCUGUUUUUUGUUAUGAGUUGCCAAUGUUGCGGCCACACCCACCCUGCAUCCUGCCUGCCUCACACAAAAGGGGAUGGCCAAGCAACACCCCAGCCCUCUCUCCCCUCCCCAGGAUCAGUGCAUUCCAGCCCAGCCACGUACCAACCAGUCCGCUCUUUAUCACGACACUCAUGGUGGUAGUAGUUGUGAAGUUCGGUGGGUGUGGCUUCACCUAUUCCAGAUAAGACUCACAGUCAAGGACCUGUGUUUACAUCUAAUGAAAGACGUCCAGGGGAAUAAGAUAAUAAACACUGGGGCUGGAGUCUGGGCUCCUUGAAGAGUUGAUUGUCCAGGCCAGGAAAGAGAAGAACUAAACACACAGAGCAACAGUAAACCACAGGAGGAUUCAGGAGCCUGCUCUCAAUGAGUGUAGACAGUCUGCUGCCACUGCUCUGCUAAUCAUCAGAUGGGGGAGGAGAGGAGAGAAUUUGGCAGUACGUCCAACCGGCCUCAC
ensembl:lncRNA